rnacentral:lncRNA from 1 species
CUCCAGGAUUGUGAGUGGCCUCUGGGAGCUGAGGGAAGCUUCCAGUUGAUGUCCAACAAGAAGCUGGGAUCCUUAGUCCUACAGGCAAAGGACACAAAUUCUGUCAACAACCUGAGUGUAUUCCUGGUCCUGCUCAGUGCUCUGGCAGGGUGAACCUCUACUGAUUGCAUCAAUUUGCUCCCUUUUCUCUGGCUUCUCAAUGGGUUCAGCCAAUGGGAGGCACCAGCAGGAAAUCAAAGAAUGGAAGGCAAGAGAAGGCUGCAUUCAAGAGCAUGUAAGCAUCUAAUGUGCAUGCACUGAACUUCUUCAAGGGACAAGAACCUGGCUCCUGAGGCCUGUGGGCUUCCACUUGACACCAGGAAUUCUAAAGUGCCCACACUCAAAAGAAGUCAUUCUCUUCCCCGGUGUCCUGAUUGAAAAAGUGGAUAGCAGAGAAAAGAUUUGAAUCAUGUACUAGUUUUGAAGGUAAAGCCAGCCUCUGUGUUAUGAGGACACUCCAGCAGUCCUAUGGAGAGGAUCAUGAGGAGGGAAACCAAGAUCUCCAGAGGAACAGACACCCCCUGACAACAUCCAGGGGAGUAAGCUGGGAAGCAGAUUACCUGGUCUUGGUCAAGACUUCGUAUGACUGCAAUCCUGGCCAGCACCUUCACUGCAACUUCAUGAAAGAUCCUAGACCAGAACCAUCCAGUUAAGCUGUCCUGUUUUUCCAACCCAUGGAAAUAAUGAGAAAAUAAAUGUUUGUUGUUUUAGGUCAUUCUAUUUUGGAAUGAUUUAUCAUAUAAUAAUCAAUAACUAAUACAGUACCAGGGGCAGGUUUUAAUUUGGAAUGAGUGUAUAGGAAAAUAUAAAGAAUAUGGUCAGAAAAAUUUAUCUUUUAUCCUUUAUUUUUUUUAUAUAUAGAAAUUAAUAGGCAUUAUGUAGAGAAAAUAGGAACACUUUUCAUGGGGUAUUUGGGUUGCAAAGUCAGAAAAUAUAACUCACACUUAUGUCAUCAUCGUUAUAAUUCUUACCAAAUACUAUUAAAAAUAAACUAUUUCAAAUAGUACUCUUGUAUUCAAUGACUUUUAUAAAGCCAUUGAAUAACAUAUCCCAGCUCUUAGGAACUCACAGAAUAUAGCAAUCUCUAC